rnacentral:rRNA from 1 species
GACGAACGCUGGCGGCGUGCUUAACACAUGCAAGUCGAACGGAAAGGCCCUGCUUUUGUGGGGUGCUCGGGUGGCGAACGGGUGAGUAACACGUGAGUAACCUGCCCUUGAUUUUGGGAUAACUUCAGGAAACUGGGGCUAAUACCGGAUAGGAGCUCCUGCUGCAUGGUGGGGGUUGGAAAGUUUCGGCGGUUGGGGAUGGACUCGCGGCUUAUCAGCUUGUUGGUGGGGUAGUGGCUUACCAAGGCUUUGACGGGUAGCCGGCCUGAGAGGGUGACCGGCCACAUUGGGACUGAGAUACGGCCCAGACUCCUACGGGAGGCAGCAGUGGGGAAUAUUGCACAAUGGGCGGAAGCCUGAUGCAGCAACGCCGCGUGCGGGAUGACGGCCUUCGGGUUGUAAACCGCUUUCGCCUGUGACGAAGCGUGAGUGACGGUAAUGGGUAAAGAAGCACCGGCUAACUACGUG